rnacentral:rRNA from 1 species
GUACACUCCUGCGGGAGGCAGCAGUGGGGAAUAUUGGACAAUGGGCGCAAGCCUGAUCCAGCCAUGCCGCGUGAGUGAUGAAGGCCCUAGGGUUGUAAAGCUCUUUCACCGGUGAAGAUAAUGACGGUAACCGGAGAAGAAGCCCCGGCUAACUUCGUGCCAGCAGCCGCGGUAAUACGAAGGGGGCUAGCGUUGUUCGGAUUUACUGGGCGUAAAGCGCACGUAGGCGGACUAUUAAGUCAGGGGUGAAAUCCCGGGGCUCAACCCCGGAACUGCCUUUGAUACUGGUAGUCUUGAGUUCGAGAGAGGUGAGUGGAAUUCCGAGUGUAGAGGUGAAAUUCGUAGAUAUUCGGAGGAACACCAGUGGCGAAGGCGGCUCACUGGCUCGAUACUGACGCUGAGGUGCGAAAGCGUGGGGAGCAAACAGGAUUAGAUACCCCGGUAGUCCCAU